ensembl:lncRNA
AAUAUAUUUUUUUAAGAAAUAAAAAAAGUAGUUAAUAGAAAUGUACCACAGAUUAAGUUUUGUAUAACAUGAAACUUAGUUAAGAGAACUUGUAAUUCAUCAUGACUUUUAACUCAUAAAAAUAUUACUUCCAUGAGUUACCUGGUAUAUGAUUCUCCUAAAAUUUCUGAGUAGAGAGAGUAUUCUUUAUCUAGAUACAGUCUUUGUUUUGCCAGUCCUUUGGAAUGCUGUUUAUCUGAAAAUUGUCCUUUUUUCACAUAGUGUUUGUUUUUUGGGUCAUGGUGGAUGGAGAUUUUUUCAUUCUUUCUAGAUUGAGUCUGUGCUGUUUAAGGAGGUCUGCUGUCCUGCAUCCAUCUCUCUGUGUCUCUCUCUGUCCGUUUCUCUGUUUAUUGCCCCCCACCCCUUUUUUAAACUGGGGGACUAGAUAAAAGAAAAGUUGAAGAAGGGCUUGGGAUGUACCUCAGUGGCGCCGCACCUGCCUGGCAAGCGCAAGGUCCUGAGUUUGAUCCCAGUUACCAGAAAAAAAAAAAAAAAAAAAAAGUUGAAGAGCUCUUCCAACAUUUUCACAUUGCCAGAGAAGUUUAAAAUAUAAUUCAAUUUAAUCCAUUGUACAAGUGUAUUGAUGGCUUAAGGCCCUCCUCUCUCCUGCUAUUUGAACUCUGAGGGAUUCCUCUUCCUAAAUAUGAAGAAAAUUCAUAUGAAGAUAUUCAUAUGGCCCAUGUGAAGCAUGGGGAAGGGAAAACAUUUCCUUCUUACAGAUCUUAUGCUUAAAUUUUGGGAACAUUGAUGUCAUACUCAAAUUUCAAGGAAUCCUACUGCAUUUUAAGGCAAUCAGGUUAAGUAGAUGAUUUGGAAAAUGCAUUAAUUUGUAGGAAGUAUUUUAUCGUGAAAAGUUUUCCAGUUGAAGAUAUUCAGUAAAUAAAAGCUAAGAAAUUUCAUUGAAAUCCUGAGGUGAUUUACAAAUAAGUGGGAAAAAAAUGACUGUACUACCUAAUAGAGAAUCAUUCACCCUAAAGAGUCAAGUGGGUAUGAUUUAUUGGAUAGUGACAAUUUAUUUUUAACCUUGAGUAUAUUAAAAGAUAACAUUCUGUUUGUAUGCUCUGCAUUAAUAAAAAUGAACAAAAUUAAUUUUGGUGUGUUCGGGUGUCUUGCUAAAAUAAUGUUCUGGUGGUGUUGCUGAUGUUUAACAUUCAGCUUUAAGUCAAGGUCACUGAGUUCAGGUUUCAACUUCAUGCUUAGAUUUAAUAUGCUGUUCAUUAUUAGGCUAUUUGUAUUCAUUACUCUGACAACUAAAUCACUAUAUAUAUAUAUACAUAUAUAUACAUAUAUGUAUAUAUAUAUAACUGAGGAAUAUCUGUUCUUACUAAGAAGUGCUCAGGUUAUUAUCUGAGCUAUAGACAGGCUGGCUAAGUUUGGUAUUAUAUCAAGAAGCAGCUUUAGUAAACAGGCAUGCAUAAUGAAAAUAAUGAAGAUCACACAGGAAGUGAAAAGGCUGAAUACUAAGGGGAGGCUGAGAGCUUCAGGUUAAUGAAUGCUGUCUGAGCCUGUUGCCUCAAGCCUUCAUGGGAAUAUUGCCUUAGAAUUAUUACAUGCACUUCUUUGUUGGUUAAGUUGUAAAAUUUUGUUCUUCAUGAAUGUGGAAGUUUUGAGGGCCUGGUAGAAGGAAUAAGGACAUGAUGCUGUUAACAAGAUGUUUGAUUCAUAAAUGUCUGCGGUAGAGUUUGGGUGAUCUAGUAAAUGUUAUAGAACCACUUUUUAGUCUAUGCACCAUUCAGUAAACUAAAAUCAGAUUUCUCCUAAUAUCAUUUGAAAUUUCAC